rnacentral:rRNA from 1 species
CGGCCACACUGGGACUGAGACACGGCCCAGACUCCUACGGGAGGCAGCAGUGGGGAAUAUUGCACAAUGGGCGCAAGCCUGAUGCAGCGACGCCGCGUGAGGGAUGACGGCCUUCGGUUGUAAACCUCUUUCAGUAGGGAAGAAGCGAAAGUGACGGUACCUGCAGAAGAAGCACCGGCUAACUACGUGCCAGCAGCCGCGGUAAUACGUAGGGUGCGAGCGUU